CAGGAGGGUACAGGCCUUCUGAAGAAGGGGAUGCAGGGAAAGCCCCCGAAAGGCGUGGAUAUGGUGGUCCUCGAGGUUCAUUCCGAGGGGGUCGGCGUGGUGGCUUCAGUAAUGGAGAAUCUGGAGAAGGGGAACGCCCUCGCAGGAUAUAUGAGCGGCGCAGUGGAACAGGACGAGGGAAUGAUAUUAAACGUGAUGGGGCUGGUCGCGGGAAUUGGGGAACUCCAAGUGAUGAAAUUGCUUUGGAGACUGAAGAACCUGCUGGUGAGAAUGAAAAGAAUGUGAAUGCUGAGAAGCAGCCAGGAGCUGAAGAAGCUACAGAUGCAAAUAAGGAAAGCCCUGUCAGCGAGCCAGAAGAGAAAGAGCCUGAGGAUAAGGAGAUGACUUUGGAAGAGUAU